UAAUACGAAGGUGGCAAGCGUUGUUCGGAUUUACUGGGCGUACAGGGUGCGUAGGCGGUCUGGUAAGCCCUUCGGGAAAGCCCUCGGCUCAACCGGGGAAGUUCGGAGGGUACUGCCGGGCUAGAGGACGGGAGAGGAGCGCGGAAUUCCCGGUGUAGCGGUGAAAUGCGUAGAGAUCGGGAGGAAGGCCGGUGGCGAAGGCGGCGCUCUGGAACGUUCCUGACGCUGAGGCACGAAAGCGUGGGGAGCAAACAGGAUUAGAUACCCUGGUAGUCCACGCCCUAAACGAUGGACACUAAGUGUCGGCGGGUUACCGCCGGUGCCGCAGCUAACGCAUUAAGUGUCCCGCCUGGGAAGUACGGCCGCAAGGUUGAAACUUAAAGGAAUUGACGG
rnacentral:rRNA from 1 species